GACGUAGGGCGCGAGCGUUGUCCAGAUUUAUUGGGCGUAAAGAGCUCGUAGGCGGCUUGUCGCGUCGACCGUGAAAACUCGCAGCUCAACUGCGAGCCUGCGGUCGAUACGGGCAGGCUAGAGUUCGGUAGGGGAGACUGGAAUUCCUGGUGUAGCGGUGAAAUGCGUAGAUAUCUGGAGGAACACCGGUGGCGAAGGCGGCAUCCUGGACCGGCAUUGACGCUGAGGCGCGAAAGCCAGGGGAGCAAACGGGG
rnacentral:rRNA from 1 species